GAUGAACGCUGGCGGCGUGCCUAAUACAUGCAAGUCGAGCGAACGGACGAGAAGCUUGCUUCUCUGAUGUUAGCGGCGGACGGGUGAGUAACACGUGGAUAACCUACCUAUAAGACUGGGAUAACUUCGGGAAACCGGAGCUAAUACCGGAUAAUAUUUUGAACCGCAUGGUUCAAAAGUGAAAGACGGUCUUGCUGUAACUUAUAGAUGGAUCCGCGCUGCAUUAGCUAGUUGGUAAGGUAACGGCUUACCAAGGCAACGAUGCAUAGCCGACCUGAGAGGGUGAUCGGCCACACUGGAACUGAGACACGGUCCAGACUCCUACGGGAGGCAGCAGUAGGGAAUCUUCCGCAAUGGGCGAAAGCCUGACGGAGCAACGCCGCGUGAGUGAUGAAGGUCUUCGGAUCGUAAAACUCUGUUAUUAGGGAAGAACAUAUGUGUAAGUAACUGUGCACAUCUUGACGGUACCUAAUCAGAAAGCCACGGCUAACUACGUG
rnacentral:rRNA from 1 species